rnacentral:rRNA from 1 species
UGGGGAAUUUUGGACAAUGGGCGAAAGCCUGAUCCAGCAAUGCCGCGUGUGUGAAGAAGGCCUUCGGGUUGUAAAGCACUUUUGUCCGGGAAAGAAAUCCUUGGCUCUAAUACAGUCGGGGGAUGACGGUACCGGAAGAAUAAGCACCGGCUAACUACGUGCCAGCAGCCGCGGUAAUACGUAGGGUGCAAGCGUUAAUCGGAAUUACUGGGCGUAAAGCGUGCGCAGGCGGUUUGCUAAGACCGAUGUGAAAUCCCCGGGCUCAACCUGGGAACUGCUUGGUGACUGGGCAGGGCUAGAGUAUGGCAGGAGGGGGGUAGAAUUCCACGUGUAGCAGUGAAAUGCGUAGAGAUGUGGAGGAAUACCGAUGGCGAAGGCANCCCCUGGGCCAAUACUGACGCUCAUGCACGAAAGCGUGGGGAGCAAACA